rnacentral:rRNA from 1 species
GAUACCCUACGGGAGGCAGCAGUGGGGAAUAUUGCACAAUGGCGGAAACCCUGAUGCAGCAACGCCGCGUGAGUGAAGAAGUAUUUCGGUAUGUAAAGCUCUAUCAGCAGGGAAGAAGAUGACGGUACCUGAGUAAGAAGCCCCGGCUAACUACGUGCCAGCAGCCGCGGUAAUACGUAGGGGGCAAGCGUUAUCCGGAUUUACUGGGUGUAAAGGGAGCGUAGACGGUGAGACAAGUCUGAAGUGAAAGCCAGG